CACAUCCAAGGAAGGCAGCAGGCACGCAAAUUACCCAAUCCCAGCUCUGGGAGGUAGUGACGAAAAAUAACAAUGCGGGACUCUUCCGAGUCUGCGUAAUUGGAAUGAGCACACUUUAAAUCCUUUAGCAACAACCAAUUGGAGGGCAAGUCUGGUGCCAGCAGCCGCGGUAAUUCCAGCUCCAAUAGCGUAUAUUAAAGUUGUUGCGGUUAAAAAGCUCGUAGUUCGAUUUGAGUUGCGGACUGGUGUGGGAGGUCACCGCCCGGUGCUUGCCCGCCAGGUUCCGAACAGCUUCCGUGAGUGGAAGCCAAGCCGGUUCUGCCGGGGUGCUCUUUACCGAGUGUCCCGCGCGGCCGGCCAGUUCACCUUGAAUAAAUGAGAGUGCUCAAAGCAGGCUACUCUGGAAUACAAUGCCCGAAUGUUAGCUGCAUGGAAUGAUGGAAGAUGAUCUCGGUUGCAUUUUGUUGGUGGUGGCAGCCAGAGGUAAUGAUAAAGAGGGACUGUCGGGGGCAUCCGUACUACGACGCGAGAGGUGAAAUUCAGUGACCGUCGUAGGACGAACAACAGCGAAAGCAUUUGCCAAGAAUGUCUUCGUUGAUCAAGAACGAAAGUUAGAGGAUCGAAGGCGAUCAGAUACCGCCCUAGUUCUAACCCUAAACGAUGCUGACUAGCAAUUCGCCGUCGUUAUUCCCAUGACGUGGCGAGACGCCCCCGGGAAACCUCAAGUCUUUGAGUUCCGGGGGUAGUAUGGUUGCAAAAGUGAAACUUAAAGGAAUUGACGGAAGGGCACCACCAGGAGUGGAGCCUGCGGCUUAAUUUGACUCAACACGGGGAAGCUCACCAGGCCCGGACACCAGAAGGAUUGACAGAUUAAGAGCUCUUUCUCGAUUUGGUGGGUGGUGGUGCAUGGCCGUUCUUAGUUGGUGGAGUGAUUUGUCUGGUUAAUC
rnacentral:rRNA from 1 species